rnacentral:rRNA from 1 species
UGAGGAAUAUUGGGCAAUGCCCGCAAGGGUGACCCAGCAACGCCGCGUGGAGGAUGAAUGUCGUAAGAUUGUAAACUCCUGUUAGAGGGGAAGAAUAGUACCGGUUGGACCGGUAUAUGACUGUACCCUCAGAGAAAGCCCCGGCUAACUACGUGCCAGCAGCCGCGGUAAUACGUAGGGGGCAAGGGUUGUCCGGAUUUACUGGGUGUAAAGGGCGCGCAGGCGGGAUAAAAAGUCAGUGGUGAAAUCCUACAGCUUAACUGUAGAACUGCCUUGGAUACUUUUAUUCUUGAGUGCGGGAGAGAGAGACGGAAUUCCAGGUGUAGUGGUGAAAUACGUAGAUAUCUGGAAGAACACCAGUUGCGAAGGCGGUCUCUUGGUCCGACACUGACGCUGAGGCGCGAAAGCGUGGGGAGCAAACA